UACGGAGGGUGCAAGCGUUAUCCGGAUUCACUGGGUUUAAAGGGUGCGUAGGUGGGCAGGUAAGUCAGUGGUGAAAUCUCCGGGCUUAACUCGGAAACUGCCGUUGAUACUAUCUGUCUUGAAUAUCGUGGAGGUUAGCGGAAUAUGUCAUGUAGCGGUGAAAUGCUUAGAUAUGACAUAGAACACCGAUUGCGAAGGCAGCUAACUACACGAUCAUUGACACUGAGGCACGAAAGCGUGGGGAGCAAACAGG
rnacentral:rRNA from 1 species